UACGUAGGGUGCGAGCGUUGUCCGGAAUUACUGGGCGUAAAGAGCUCGUAGGUGGUUUGUCGCGUUGUCCGUGAAAACUCACAGCUUAUCUGUGGGCGUGCGGGCGAUACGGGCAGACUGGAGUACUGCAGGGGAGACUGGAAUUCCAGGUGUAGCGGUGAAAUGCGUAGAUAUCUGGAGGAAUACCGGUGGCGAAGGCGGCAUCCUGGACCGGCAUUGACGCUGAACAGCGAAAGCUAGGGGAGCAAACGGG
rnacentral:rRNA from 1 species